rnacentral:lncRNA from 1 species
CCCCUCUCCACAUGUACCCUCUCUCCACAAAUGUACACGAGGUUCCGGGAGCUUCCAUGAGCAUUGCGAAGGAGCUUCCGCGAGCGCUUCGACGUGGCCAACCGAUCAUUGCCCCCUCUCUAGCUUUCUUUAUCUAUGUACAUCAAUUUUUUUCGAUCUUUCCCUUGAUGUUGUAGAUUUUUCUAUGUUUUUCCCGGGUUUUCCCGUUGUUUUUCCAUCCUCGAAAGUCUCAAUCAGGUGGGAGGCAUGAAGUAAACGAAGCAGCCAAACAGGGAAGCUGUUUCCCCAAGUUUUUUCAUUGUUUUUCAUCCUGAGGAGUCUCAAUCGAGUGGGCGGCGAACAAAGUGGCCGA